rnacentral:rRNA from 1 species
GACGAGGGGUCCAAGCGUUGUUCGGAAUUAUUGGGCGUAAAGGGCCCGUAGGCGGCCAACUAAGUCCGACGUGAAAUCCCCGGGCUUAACCUGGGAAUGGCGUCUGAAACUACGGAGCUGGAGUGCGGCAGAGGGAGGUAGAAUUCCACGUGUAGCGGUGAAAUGCGUAGAUAUGUGGAGGAAUACCGAUGGCGAAGGCAGCCUCCUGGGCCAACACUGACGCUCAUGCACGAAAGCGUGGGGAGCAAACAGG